AUGAACCAUCUAGCAUCCAAACAUAUAUCAGGAGGACUUGAGGAUUCUUUAGUCCAAACAAUAGAUGAACAGCUGCCGAUAUGCUUUUCUACAGACAAAAUCUCUUGUCGAAAACGGAAGACGGGAAACAUCAAAACUAGCAGAAGCAGACCAAAUGUGCAUAUAUUCUAUCUAGCUAACAUUCUCAAUGAUCACGAGUUUCAGGAGUUCAACGACGAAUCACACCCACGAACAAAACGAGAUGCUUAUCCGCAGAUAAAAUCACUAGUGGUGGUAAGUACCAGAAGUCUCGUGCAGAAACAAAGCUCGACCACGCUGCAGCACCAAUGUGGUACCAUGAUCGGAAGAGGCUGGAUGUUCAGGUGCGGCUCAGGAUCGCCGUGGCGUACCAGGACUCCAAGUAGGCGGCGGCGCUCAUCUGGCGCGCGUCCUCCGCCGCCGCGGUGGCCUGGUGAUGGGCGCGUGCGGCGUGUGACUCGGCCGCCUGUACCCACGCGUGCCGCUGCCAAAUCGGGGAGCCGGCGGGCAGCAUCCCGGCUACGGAGACGGCGUCAUAGCACGCUAUGUCGUAGGCGGCGGCGAGGCGAAGCUUCCGGGACACGUCGCGCUUGCGGUCCAUGGCCUCCGCCCUGUUCACAAGCCACUGCUCCCAGCACGCGUUGCCCAGCUGGUCCAGGGCCGCCAGGCCCGGGAAGAGGACGAGGUCCCUCCGAGCCGCCUCGGCGGGCAGCAGGAAGGCGAAGUGCUCGCCGUAGAGGGCGAAGAAGCGGGCGCCCGCGGUGUGGAGCUCGUGGUGCUCGCCGAGCAUCGAGAUGGCCUGGUCGAGGGGGGUGCUGGGGAGGAUCGGCUGCUGGAGCGGGUCGGCGAUUUGCCCGACCCCGUCCCGGUACUGGGCCAGGAUGCCACGGCGCAGGUUGA
rnacentral:rRNA from 1 species